rnacentral:rRNA from 1 species
UACGUAGGUGGCAAGCGUUGUCCGGAUUUACUGGGCGUAAAGGGCGUGCAGGCGGUUUGUUAAGUGCAGGGUGAAAGCUCCCGGCUCAACUGGGAGAGGUCCUUGCAUACUGGCAAACUCGAGGGAGGCAGAGGAAAGUGGAAUUCCCGGUGUAGUGGUGAUAUGCGUAGAUAUCGGGAAGAACACCCGUGGCGAAGGCGGCUCUCUGGAACGAUACUGACGCUGAGACGCGAAAGCGUGGGGAGCGAACAGG